rnacentral:rRNA from 1 species
AACGCUGGCGGCGUGCCUAAUACAUGCAAGUCGAGCGAACGGACGAGAAGCUUGCUUCUCUGAUGUUAGCGGCGGACGGGUGAGUAACACGUGGAUAACCUACCUAUAAGACUGGGAUAACUUCGGGAAACCGGAGCUAAUACCGGAUAAUAUUUUGAACCGCAUGGUUCAAAAGUGAAAGACGGUCUUGCUGUCACUUAUAGAUGGAUCCGCGCUGCAUUAGCUAGUUGGUAAGGUAACGGCUUACCAAGGCAACGAUGCAUAGCCGACCUGAGAGGGUGAUCGGCCACACUGGAACUGAGACACGGUCCAGACUCCUACGGGAGGCAGCAGUAGGGAAUCUUCCGCAAUGGGCGAAAGCCUGACGGAGCAACGCCGCGUGAGUGAUGAAGGUCUUCGGAUCGUAAAACUCUGUUAUUAGGGAAGAACAUAUGUGUAAGUAACUGUGCACAUCUUGACGGUACCUAAUCAGAAAGCCACGGCUAACUACGUGCCAGCAGCCGCGGUAAUACGUAGGUGGCAAGCGUUAUCCGGAAAUUAUUGGGCGUAAAGCGCGCGUAGGCGGUUUUUUAAGUCUGAUGUGAAAGCCCACGGCUCAACCGUGGAGGGUCAUUGGAAACUGGAAAACUUGAGUGCAGAAGAGGAAAGUGGAAUUCCAUGUGUAGCGGUGAAAUGCGCAGAGAUAUGGAGGAACACCAGUGGCGAAGGCGACUUUCUGGUCUGUAACUGACGCUGAUGUGCGAAAGCGUGGGGAUCAAACAGGAUUAGAUACCCUGGUAGUCCACGCCGUAAACGAUGAGUGCUAAGUGUUAGGGGGUUUCCGCCCCUUAGUGCUGCAGCUAACGCAUUAAGCACUCCGCCUGGGGAGUACGACCGCAAGGUUGAAACUCAAAGGAAUUGACGGGGACCCGCACAAGCGGUGGAGCAUGUGGUUUAAUUCGAAGCAACGCGAAGAACCUUACCAAAUCUUGACAUCCUUUGACAACUCUAGAGAUAGAGCCUUCCCCUUCGGGGGACAAAGUGACAGGUGGUGCAUGGUUGUCGUCAGCUCGUGUCGUGAGAUGUUGGGUUAAGUCCCGCAACGAGCGCAACCCUUAAGCUUAGUUGCCAUCAUUAAGUUGGGCACUCUAAGUUGACUGCCGGUGACAAACAGGAGGAAGGUGGGGAUGACGUCAAAUCAUCAUGCCCCUUAUGAUUUGGGCUACACACGUGCUACAAUGGACAAUACAAAGGGCAGCGAAACCGCGAGGUCAAGCAAAUCCCAUAAAGUUGUUCUCAGUUCGGAUUGUAGUCUGCAACUCGACUACAUGAAGCUGGAAUCGCUAGUAAUCGUAGAUCAGCAUGCUACGGUGAAUACGUUCCCGGGUCU